GCAGUUUCAACUGUUCAUCAUAUUAGCAUUUCAGUUCCUUCACAGUAUCUUUGACAGCAAAAUUCACACAUGGGAUUCAAUUGUAACAAAAGCUAAGAUUUGAAGAUGUGUGCAGUACAGAUAUUAUAUCCAUCACCAACCUCCCUCAAUUGGUCUUCUUUCAGAGACCUAAAAAGGAGGCCAAAAAAGCCUCCCCCCAUUGCCAACCUCUUUCAAUCCUUAUGUCAUUUGAAUGUAGUGUAACGAAAGUUGAGUUUAUUUGUGUUCACUCUAUGAAGCAUAUUAACACAACAUUGAGCCCAACCGCAG
rnacentral:misc_RNA from 1 species